AAGACGACGACGUUGAUAGGUCGGGUGUGUAAGUGCAGCGAUGCGUUGAGCUAACCGAUACUAAUGAACCGUGAGGCUUAACCUUACAACGCCGAAGC
rnacentral:rRNA from 1 species